rnacentral:rRNA from 1 species
UACGAAGGGGGCUAGCGUUGCUCGGAAUCACUGGGCGUAAAGCGCACGUAGGCGGGUUCUUAAGUCAGGGGUGAAAUCCUGGAGCUCAACUCCAGAACUGCCUUUGAUACUGGGAAUCUUGAGUUCGGGAGAGGUGAGUGGAACUGCGAGUGUAGAGGUGAAAUUCGUAGAUAUUCGGAAGAACACCAGUGGCGAAGGCGACUCACUGGACAUGUAUUGACGCUGAGGUGCGAAAGCGUGGGGAGCAAACAGG